GAGUUUGAUCCUGGCUCAGAACGAACGCUGGCGGCGUGCCUAACACAUGCAAGUCGAACGUGAUCCAGAGCUUGCUCUGGUGAAAGUGGCGCACGGGUGAGUAACGCGUGGAUAACCUACCCUGGUAUCCGGGAUAACAUUCCGAAAGGGGUGCUAAUACCGGAUAAGCCCACGGGCUCUUUGGAGCUUGCGGGAAAAGGUGGCCUCUAUUUAUAAGCUACUGUAUCAGGAUGGGUCCGCGUACCAUUAGCUAGUUGGCGGUGUAACGGACCACCAAGGCGACGAUGGUUAGCUGGUCUGAGAGGAUGAUCAGCCACACUGGAACUGAGACACGGUCCAGACUCCUACGGGAGGCAGCAGUGGGGAAUUUUGCGCAAUGGGGGAAACCCUGACGCAGCAACGCCGCGUGAGUGAUGGAGGCCUUUGGGUCGUAAAGCUCUGUCAGAGGGGAAGAAAUGAUAUAGUGCUAAUACCACUUUAUCUUGACGGUACCCUCAAAGGAAGCACCGGCUAACUCCGUGCCAGCAGCCGCGGUAAUAC
rnacentral:rRNA from 1 species